rnacentral:tRNA from 1 species
UCCUGCGUAGCUCAGUUGGUAAAGCAUCUGCCUGCAAUGCUGGAGACCUGGGUUCAACUCCUGGGACAGGAA